UUAAGCGACUAAGCGUACACGGUGGAUGCCCUGGCAGUCAGAGGCGAUGAAGGGCGUGCUAAUCUGCGAUAAGCGCCGGUAAGGUGAUAUGAACCGUUAUAACCGGCGAUACCCGAAUGGGGAAACCCAGUGUGAUUCGUCACACUAUCGUUAACUGAAUACAUAGGUUAACGAAGCGAACCGGGGGAACUGAAACAUCUAAGUACCCCGAGGAAAAGAAAUCAACCGAGAUUCCCCCAGUAGCGGCGAGCGAACGGGGAGGAGCCCAGAGCCUGAAUCAGCAUGUGUGUUAGUGGAAGCGUCUGGAAAGGCGCGCGAUACAGGGUGACAGCCCCGUACACAAAAGCGCAUGUGCUGUGAGCUCGAUGAGUAGGGCGGGACACGUGGUAUCCUGUCUGAAUAUGGGGGGACCAUCCUCCAAGGCUAAAUACUCCUGACUGACCGAUAGUGAACCAGUACCGUGAGGGAAAGGCGAAAAGAACCCCGGCGAGGGGAGUGAAAAAGAACCUGAAACCGUGUACGUACAAGCAGUGGGAGCACAGGUUUACCUGUGUGACUGCGUACCUUUUGUAUAAUGGGUCAGCGACUUAUAUUCUGUAGCAAGGUUAACCGAAUAGGGGAGCCGUAGGGAAACCGAGUCUUAAUUGGGCGUUAAGUUGCAGGGUAUAGACCCGAAACCCGGUGAUCUAGCCAUGGGCAGGUUGAAGGUUGGGUAACACUAACUGGAGGACCGAACCGACUAAUGUUGAAAAAUUAGCGGAUGACCUGUGGCUGGGGGUGAAAGGCCAAUCAAACCGGGAGAUAGCUGGUUCUCCCCGAAAGCUAUUUAGGUAGCGCCUCGUGAAUUCAUCUCCGGGGGUAGAGCACUGUUUCGGCUAGGGGGCCAUCCCGGCUUACCAACCCGAUGCAAACUGCGAAUACCGGAGAAUGUUAUCACGGGAGACACACGGCGGGUGCUAACGUCCGUCGUGAAGAGGGAAACAACCCAGACCGCCAGCUAAGGUCCCAAAGUCAUGGUUAAGUGGGAAACGAUGUGGGAAGGCCCAGACAGCCAGGAUGUUGGCUUAGAAGCAGCCAUCAUUUAAAGAAAGCGUAAUAGCUCACUGGUCGAGUCGGCCUGCGCGGAAGAUGUAACGGGGCUAAAUCAUGCACCGAAGCUGCGGCAGCGACACUGUGUGUUGUUGGGUAGGGGAGCGUUCUGUAAGCCUGUGAAGGUGGCCUGUGAGGGUUGCUGGAGGUAUCAGAAGUGCGAAUGCUGACAUAAGUAACGAUAAAGCGGGUGAAAAGCCCGCUCGCCGGAAGACCAAGGGUUCCUGUCCAACGUUAAUCGGGGCAGGGUGAGUCGACCCCUAAGGCGAGGCCGAAAGGCGUAGUCGAUGGGAAACAGGUUAAUAUUCCUGUACUUGGUGUUACUGCGAAGGGGGGACGGAGAAGGCUAUGUUGGCCGGGCGACGGUUGUCCCGGUUUAAGCGUGUAGGUGUGUGUUCCAGGUAAAUCCGGUUCACUUUAACACUGAGGCGUGACGACGAGGCACUACGGUGCUGAAGCAACAAAUGCCCUGCUUCCAGGAAAAGCCUCUAAGCAUCAGGUAACAUCAAAUCGUACCCCAAACCGACACAGGUGGUCAGGUAGAGAAUACCAAGGCGCUUGAGAGAACUCGGGUGAAGGAACUAGGCAAAAUGGUGCCGUAACUUCGGGAGAAGGCACGCUGACACGUAGGUGAAGUGAUUUACUCACGGAGCUGAAGUCAGUCGAAGAUACCAGCUGGCUGCAACUGUUUAUUAAAAACACAGCACUGUGCAAACACGAAAGUGGACGUAUACGGUGUGACGCCUGCCCGGUGCCGGAAGGUUAAUUGAUGGGGUCAGCGCAAGCGAAGCUCCUGAUCGAAGCCCCGGUAAACGGCGGCCGUAACUAUAACGGUCCUAAGGUAGCGAAAUUCCUUGUCGGGUAAGUUCCGACCUGCACGAAUGGCGUAAUGAUGGCCAGGCUGUCUCCACCCGAGACUCAGUGAAAUUGAACUCGCUGUGAAGAUGCAGUGUACCCGCGGCAAGACGGAAAGACCCCGUGAACCUUUACUAUAGCUUGACACUGAACAUUGAGCCUUGAUGUGUAGGAUAGGUGGGAGGCUUUGAAGUGUGGACGCCAGUCUGCAUGGAGCCGACCUUGAAAUACCACCCUUUAAUGUUUGAUGUUCUAACGUGGACCCGUAAUCCGGGUUGCGGACAGUGUCUGGUGGGUAGUUUGACUGGGGCGGUCUCCUCCUAAAGAGUAACGGAGGAGCACGAAGGUUGGCUAAUCCUGGUCGGACAUCAGGAGGUUAGUGCAAUGGCAUAAGCCAGCUUGACUGCGAGCGUGACGGCGCGAGCAGGUGCGAAAGCAGGUCAUAGUGAUCCGGUGGUUCUGAAUGGAAGGGCCAUCGCUCAACGGAUAAAAGGUACUCCGGGGAUAACAGGCUGAUACCGCCCAAGAGUUCAUAUCGACGGCGGUGUUUGGCACCUCGAUGUCGGCUCAUCACAUCCUGGGGCUGAAGUAGGUCCCAAGGGUAUGGCUGUUCGCCAUUUAAAGUGGUACGCGAGCUGGGUUUAGAACGUCGUGAGACAGUUCGGUCCCUAUCUGCCGUGGGCGCUGGAGAACUGAGGGGGGCUGCUCCUAGUACGAGAGGACCGGAGUGGACGCAUCACUGGUGUUCGGGUUGUCAUGCCAAUGGCACUGCCCGGUAGCUAAAUGCGGAAGAGAUAAGUGCUGAAAGCAUCUAAGCACGAAACUUGCCCCGAGAUGAGUUCUCCCUGAGACUUAGAGUCUCCUGAAGGAACGUUGAAGACGACGACGUUGAUAGGCCGGGUGUGUAAGCGCAGCGAUGCGUUGAGCUAACCGGUACUAAUGAACCGUGAGGCUUAACCUU
rnacentral:rRNA from 1 species